AGCAGCACAAAGGAAAGAGGUUUGGAGUCAGUAGAGUUUGAGGUGAAGGUGCCUCUCGUGCGAAGCGGCGGUGGGAGUGGGAGUUGUUUGGAUGCAGAUUCCAUCUGCAUUACGAGCACUGAACCAAACACCAAACAUCUCAGAUCCUGAGAAAUCUGAGGCUCAUCUUAUGCAGCGCCGCGGCUCGUCUCCUGGAAGGAAAGUGGGAAGCGUCGGUGCGCUCUGACGACGUUUAUGGGAGGAGGCGCUUCUGGUGGCCGCGGCCGCAGGAUGACGACCAAUCAUGUUGAGCGCUCGAGCGGCUGGACCCCUCAGGUGGAGGGGGGGGGGGGGUGCCAGCCUCAGAGCUCCUCCAAUCAAUCACAGGCCUGGGAGCAGAGAGGACAGACGAAACCUGAUCGCGUCAAGAAAAGUUGUAUUUUUUUGACAAAUAAACUACAGAGUUGAUUCCGAUGUGAGACAGAAAAUGGAA